rnacentral:misc_RNA from 1 species
UGAUUAUCUAAGAGAUUUUUAAUUAUCUUAACUUUGAUCCUAGGACUACGGAGUUCCGAUCAUCAGCUUAUAUUGUAAACUUAUUUAUUAUGUAAUUAGGAAUUAGAUUAUUUAACUUGCUAAGUAAUUAGGUUGUAAACUUAUUUACUAUUCAAUUUUAAAAAUCAAUUUCAAUAGUUAAUUUUAUGAUUUUUUUUUUAAUUUUAUCUUGCCAAAGCCUAAAUUUAUACCUAGCAAAUAUUAUUAAAGCCU